rnacentral:rRNA from 1 species
UACGAAGGGGGCUAGCGUUGCUCGGAAUCACUGGGCGUAAAGCGCACGUAGGCGGAUUGCUAAGUCAGGGGUGAAAUCCUGGAGCUCAACUCCAGAACUGCCUUUGAUACUGGCGAUCUUGAGUCCGGAAGAGGAGAGUGGAAUUCCCGGUGUAGCGGUGAAAGUGCGCAGAUAUCGGGAAGAACACCCGUGGCGAAGGCGGCUCUCUGGGCCGAUACGUGACGCUGAGGAGCGAAAGCGUGGGGAGCGAACAGG